rnacentral:snRNA from 1 species
AUUGCUUCUCGGCCUUUUGGCUAAGAUCAAGUGGAGAAUGCAUUAUAUUGAGGUAAAUCAUGUUCUAAAAAGCUGGAAAAAUUCACACAAAAAUGCUGAUGAAUUUUCAUGAAGAUUUUUUUUUUCUUAACCCAAAUUGCAAACUGCUGUGGAAAUGUGGAGAAUUGAA